CACUCUCAACAUACCAUCAACAAUUACACCUGCACCACCAUCUUCUUCUCCGGAACACCGCAAAACCACCACCACUAGCCUCCAUCAUAAACCCUGCACCACUUUUUGGUAUUCGUAGAUCUGAAAGAUGGCGGUGGUUCUUCGUCGUUGUUGUACUCUUCAUGUCUCACAUGUCGGAACCCCAGCCCUUAAUACCAUCAGACUUCUGAAACAUUCGUCAGGGGUGGUAGUGGUUACAGAUCAUGGAAACGAUGGCGUUGCAAAUGGUGGCGACGUUGGUUGUUUUAGCAUCGUUGAUGGGUGCUGAUGCCUUCCGACAAAAGAGAUGGUGUUGUGAAGAAAUAGUGAUGGAUUCCAACGGGGUGAGGGGUGGCGAUUAGAAAAAUAUUAUAUUUGUGAUGUCGUGUAUGCACAUACGAGGAUUUAUGGCUCCAUAUCGUAAUGUGAGGUAUUGGCUUGGAGAUUUUCGUCGAAGACGUACAUUGACUAAUAAAGAGAAAUUAACCAUGCACAUGCAAAACUUCCGGAACGUCAUUGAGCGUGCUUUUAGUGUCUUGAAAGCACAAUUCCCUAUAUUAAAGAGGAUGACACCAUUUCCAUUGGUUACACAAAGGAACAUUACCAUUGCAUGUUUCGCAGUACAAAAUUUUAUAAGGAAAGAGGGUUUGAGCGAUGAGUUGUUUCAGAAUACGAUCAACCCAAUGUUUCCUUACAUAAUAGGCAAGUGCAUGUUGAUGCUGAUGAAGACGAGGUUGAAGCACAUUGUACUGCAUCAGAUCGGGAAUAUAUGACUCAGUUAUGAGAUGAGAUUGUUGAGCAGUUAGUGCAAAGUAUGGAAUAAAUGAUUUAAAAAAAUGUUGUUGUGUUUUUAUGAAUAUUAUUUACGUUGUGUAUAACUAUUAUUUGAA